GACGAACGCUGGCGGCGUGCUUAACACAUGCGAGUCGAACGGAAAGGCCCUGCUUUUGUGGGGUGCUCGAGUGGCGAACGGGUGAGUAACACGUGAGUAACCUGCCCUUGACUUUGGGAUAACUUCAGGAAACUGGGGCUAAUACCGGAUAGGAGCUCCUGCUGCAUGGUGGGGGUUGGAAAGUUUCGGCGGUUGGGGAUGGACUCGCGGCUUAUCAGCUUGUUGGUGGGGUAGUGGCUUACCAAGGCUUUGACGGGUAGCCGGCCUGAGAGGGUGACCGGCCACACUGGGACUGAGAUACGGCCCAGACUCCUACGGGAGGCAGCAGUGGGGAAUAGUGUACAAGGGGCGGAAGCCUGAUGUAGCAACGCCGCGUGGGGGAUGACGGCCUUCGGGUUGUAAACCGCUUUCGCCUGUGACGAAGCGUGAGUGACGGUAAUGGGUAAAGAAGCACCGGCUAACUACGUG
rnacentral:rRNA from 1 species